rnacentral:lncRNA from 1 species
CCAGUCUUUGUAAAAGCCUUCGUUUUAUUCUAUUUUUAACAAGUUCUAAAAGAGUUUGCUUCAGGAGAAAAACAAAAUGAUAUUAAUGGUGAAGUCUUAUUCAUGUAAUCUAUUUUGUGUGAUUAUUAAUGCUUCAUAUGUUGAAACUUUUCAUAAGUUUGAUUAAAUAUAACUAUAUCCAGUGUUAUCAAGACAAGAGGCGACACUAAGGCGACAAGAUCUCCUAUCGCCUUAGGCGAAAGGCGAGCGACGCCUUUGGCGAAAGGCGAGCGACGCCUUUGGCGAAAGGCGAGCGACGCCUUUGGCGAAAGGCGAGCGACGCCUUUGGCGAAAGGCGAGCGACGCCUUUGGCGAAAGGCGAGCGACGCCUUUGGCGAAAGGCGAGCGACGCCUUUGGCGAAAGGCGAGCGACGCCUUUGGCGAAAGGCGAGCGACGCCUUUUUGAAAAAGGCGAUAGAAGCUAAAUUUUUUACAUAUUUUACAUAUAUGC